CUGGGUGGUUCUGUAAUUAUACUUUUGUAUAUUUGUAAUGUGAAUUGCUUUUAAAUCUUGUUUUAUUGUGUUCCAAUAUUCUGCAAGGCACCCUGGGGAUUUUAUUGAACUUUGGUGUAUAAAAUCCCACAAAUGAAAUGAAUAUUGUGUUAGGGAAUGCUUUAUGAGAUGCAAUGUAAAUUCUUUAACUAUUGCUUCCUCUUUGUCAGGACUGUAGAUCAUGACCAGACCUUUACAACACAAUCCUACAUGCACACUACAAAGUAGUAAGUGCACUGAACUGAGAGGGACUUAUUCCCAGGUUAGAGGAUAAAGCUUUGUAGUACUGGUAGCAACAGCAUAAAAGUAGAAGGAAAUAUAUGUUCACCAGAAUCAGGUACUCUGGGAGCAUAACUGGCUACUUUAGUAAAGAGUAGGAAAAAGUCUGCCUAACUUCAAGCUAAACCUUUUUUUAAAAAAGAUAUCAACAGAUGUGUAGGAUGCAGCCAGAGAUCUACCCCACAGAGUUGGCAUUGGAGCAUGGUGAAUACAAUCAAGAGUGACUUGGUCUGUUUUAGUGCAGUGUCCAAAUGAAUUCCCUGAUGUCAAGUACAAUAUCAUUGAUAAAACUAUGUCAACAAAAAGUGUGGAAUUUUCAAGCACUGAAACUCAGACUGUGAUGAAGUUCCUGUUCCUGCAAAAGAAAACUCCAAAGGAAAUCCAUCUGUGAAUGAUGUGAACAUUGAGUGACAAGUGCACAUCAUAAUUAUGGAGAAGUGUGCUGAAGACCGCCCAUUGCUGAAAUCAUCCUUACUCUGGAGAUACAUAAAAGACUGAAGAGUGCAGGGGGGUCCUUUGGAUCUUCACUUAAUGAAAGCAGGUUUGAAAUAAAAAAAGAAUUCUAG